rnacentral:tRNA from 1 species
GCGGGGGUAGCAGAGCUAGGUCAAUCCUUAAGGACCAAAUGCGCGGAGCGUUCGAGCUGUUCUCGUACGCGCGUAAGACUCAAGAUCCCGUCCCGAAGGGGUACGUGGGUUCAAAUCCCACCCCCCGCACCA